UACGGAGGGGGCUAGCGUUGUUCGGAAUUACUGGGCGUAAAGCGCACGUAGGCGGCUUUGUAAGUUAGAGGUGAAAGCCCGGGGCUCAACUCCGGAAUUGCCUUUAAGACUGCAUCGCUAGAAUUGUGGAGAGGUAAGUGGAAUUCCUAGUGUAGAGGUGAAAUUCGUAGAUAUUGGGAAGAACACCGAUGGCGAAGGCAGCCAUCUGGACCGACACUGACGCUGAGGCGCGAAAAGCGUGGGGGAGCAAACAGG
rnacentral:rRNA from 1 species